rnacentral:rRNA from 1 species
CGAAGCCGUGAGGUGGAGNAAACCCAAAAAAGACAGUCUCAGUUCGGAUUGAAGGCUGAAAUUCGCCUUCAUGAAGCCGGAAUUGCUAGUAAUGGCAGGUCAGCAUACUGCCGUGAAUACGUUCCCGGGCCUUGUACACACCGCCCGUCACACCAUGAGAGUCGGGAACACCCGAAGUCCGUAGCCUAACCGCAAGGGGGGCGCGGCCGAAGGUGGGUUCGAUAAUUGGGGUGAAGUCGUAACAAGGUAGC